ACCCUCCGAUACUCAAGUCAGAAAAAUAAAGAACAAGAGAGCAACAAUGGAUUCUUUGAGAGAGAUUUGAUUGGACUUAUCUGGAUCCUCGGAGCCCUGGUUGUUUAUAUAAAAGGAUGUCGGACAGCUGGGUUGUUAGCUGUGAGAUUGUACGAUUUCAAGAUUAUCGGACUAUUAGACAUGCCAAAUUGGAUGAGAUAAUUCAACCCUUAAUCACUCCCAC
rnacentral:lncRNA from 1 species